rnacentral:piRNA from 1 species
CCUCAACGAAGGUGUGAAGGGGAAGAAGC